UACGUAGGGUGCAAGCGUUGUCCGGAAUUACUGGGCGUAAAGCGCGCGUAGGCGGACCUGCAAGUCGGGGGUGAAAGCCCGAGGCUCAACCUCGGAACUGCCUUCGAUACUGCGGGUCUCGAGUCCGGGAGAGGUGAGUGGAAUUCCUAGUGUAGAGGUGAAAUUCGUAGAUAUUAGGAAGAACACCAGUGGCGAAGGCGGCUCACUGGCUCGGUACUGACGCUGAGGCGCGAAAGCGUGGGGAGCAAACAGGG
rnacentral:rRNA from 1 species